rnacentral:rRNA from 1 species
GAUGAACGCUAGCUCCAGGCUUAACACAUGCAAGUCGAGCGACCGGCGCACGGGUGAGUCACACGUAAUCUACCUUCCCUUUACUCGGGGACAGCCUUUCGAAAGAAUGAUUAAUACUCGCUCUAAAGGUUGGGGCUGCGUUCCAUUAGGUUGUUGGUGUGGUCUCGGCCCACCAGGCCUUGGAUGGAUCGGGGUUCUGAGAGGAAGGGCCCCCACAUUGGAACUGGAACACGUGCCAAACUGCUACGGGAGGCAGCAGUGAGGAAUAUUGGUGAAUGGGCGCUAGCCUGAACCAGCCAAGUAGCAUGAAGGAUGAAGGCGGAUGGGUCGUAGACUUCUUUUAUAAAAGAAUAUGUAUUAUAUGAAUAAGGAUCGGCUAACUCCGUGCCAGCAGCCGCGGUAAUUC